rnacentral:rRNA from 1 species
CCUACGGGUGGCUGCAGUGGGGAAUAUUGGACAAUGGGCGAAAGCCUGAUCCAGCCAUGCCGCGUGUGUGAAGAAGGCCUUCGGGUUGUAAAGCACUUUCAGUGGGGAAGAAAGCCUUGGGGCUAAUACCCUCGAGGAAGGACAUCACCCACAGAAGAAGCACCGGCUAACUCCGUGCCAGCAGCCGCGGUAAUACGGAGGGUGCGAGCGUUAAUCGGAAUUACUGGGCGUAAAGCGCGCGUAGGCGGUCUGAUAAGCCGGUUGUGAAAGCCCCGGGCUCAACCUGGGAACGGCAUCCGGAACUGUCAGGCUAGAGUGCAGGAGAGGAAGGUAGAAUUCCCGGUGUAGCGGUGAAAUGCGUAGAGAUCGGGAGGAAUACCAGUGGCGAAGGCGGCCUUCUGGACUGACACUGACGCUGAGGUGCGAAAGCGUGGGUAGCAAACAGGAUUAGAUACCUGGUAGUC